rnacentral:rRNA from 1 species
AAUCCGUGGUUUCAAUCUUCGGAGAGAAAUCGCGGUGGACAGUGGCGGAAGGGUGAGUAACGCGUGGGUAACCUGCCCCUAAGUUGGGGACAACCCCGGGAAACCGGAGCUAAUACCGAAUGUGGUCCUCUGUCGCAUGGCAGGGUGACUAAAGGUGGGGAUUCUUCGGAACCUGCCGCUUGGGGAGGGGCCCGCGUCCCAUCAGUUUGUUGGUAGGGUAACGGCCUACCAAGGCUUACGGGUAGCUGGUCUGAGAGGACGGUCAGCCACACUGGGACUGAGACACUGCCCAGACUCCUACGGGAGGCUGCAGUCGAGGAUCAUUCGCAAUGCGCGAAAGCGUGACGAUGCGACGCUGCGUGGAGGAUGACGGCCUUCGGGUUGUAAACUCCUGUCAUGAGGGAAAAGACGGCGGGCCGUUAAUAGCGGUUCGCCCCGAUGGUACCUCAAGAGGAAGCCACGGCUAACUCUGUGCCAGCAGCCGCGGUAAUACAGAGGUGGCGAGCGUUGUUCGGAUUUACUGGGCGUAAAGGGUGCGUAGGUGGUUCCGUAUGUCGGGUGUGAAAUCCCACGGCUCAACCGUGGAACUGCAACCGAAACUGCGGGGCUAGAGUGCAGGAGGGGAGAGCGGAAUUCUUGGUGUAGCGGUGAAAUGCGUUGAUAUCAAGAAGAACACCGGUGGCGAAGGCGGCUCUCUGGAAUGCUACUGACACUGAGGCACGAAAGCUGGGGGAGCGAACAGGAUUAGAUACCCUGGUAGCCCCAGCCGUAAACGGUGUGCACUUGGUGUGGGGGGAUUUGACCCCCUCCGUGCCGGAGCUAACGCGUUAAGUGCACCGCCUGGGGAGUACGGUCGCAAGAUUAAAACUCAAAGAAAUUGACGGGGGCCCGCACAAGCGGAGGAGCAUGUGGCUUAAUUCGAUGCAACGCGAAGAACCUUACCAGGGCUUGACAUGUAGCUGCACGCCCGCCGAAAGGUGGGAAGCCUUCGAGGGUGCUACACAGGUGCUGCAUGGCUGUCGUCAGUUCGUGCCGUGAGGUGUUGGGUUAAGUCCCGCAACGAACGCAACCCUUGUGUUUAGUUGCCACCGCAGGUGAUGAGCCUGCGAGCACUCUAAACAGACUGCCCGUACAAGCGGGAGGAAGGUGGGGAUGACGUCAAGUCAGUAUGGCCCUUACGCCCUGGGCUGCACACGUGCUACAAUGGCCGGUACAGAAGGAUGCAAGACCGCGAGGUGGAGCAAAUCCUGAAAGCUGGCCCCAGUUCGGAUUGGAGUCUGCAACUCGACUCCAUGAAGUCGGAUUCGCUAGUAACGGCGCAUCAGCUACGGCGCCGUGAAUACGUUCCCGGGCCUUGUACACACCGCCCGUCACAUCAUGAAAGCCGUCUGCUCCCGAAGUCGCUGAGCUAACCCGCAAGGGAGGCAGGUGCCGAAGGUGUGGGUGGUGAUUGGGAUGAAGUCGGAACAAGGUA